rnacentral:rRNA from 1 species
CCCGGGUGCGUCGCAGCCCCGGAACCAGGCGCCCGCCGGAGGGACCAACCAAACUCUUUCUGUAGUCCCCUCGCGGACGUUAUUUCUUACAGCUCUGAGCAAAAAUUCAAAAUGAAUCAAAACUUUCAACAACGGAUCUCUUGGUUCUGGCAUCGAUGAAGAACGCAGCGAAAUGCGAUAAGUAAUGUGAAUUGCAGAAUUCAGUGAAUCAUCGAAUCUUUGAACGCACAUUGCGCCCGCCAGUAUUCUGGCGGGCAUGCCUGUCCGAGCGUCAUUUCAACCCUCGAACCCCUCCGGGGGGUCGGCGUUGGGGAUCGGGAACCCCUAAGACGGGAUCCCGGCCCCGAAAUACAGUGGCGGUCUCGCCGCAGCCUCUCCUGCGCAGUAGUUUGCACAACUCGCACCGGGAGCGCGGCGCGUCCACGUCCGUAAAACACCCAACUUCUGAAAUGUUGACCUCGGAUCAGGUAGGAAUACCCGCUGAACUUAAGCAUAUCAAUAAGCGGAGGAAAAGAAACCAACAGGGAUUGCCCCAGUAACGGCGAGUGAAGCGGCAACAGCUCAAAUUUUGAAAUCUGGCCCCUAGGGUCCGAGUUGUAAUUUGUAGAGGAUGCUUUUGGUGAGGUGCCGCCCGA